rnacentral:misc_RNA from 1 species
GAUGAAGAACGCAGCGAAAUGCGAUAAUUAAUGUGAAUUGCAGAAUUCCGUGAAUCAUCGAGUCUUUGAACGCACAUUGCGCCUCAUGGCAUUCCGUGAGGCAUGCCCAUCUCAGCGUUAGAAAAUAUUCUCAAAUUUUAGUUUUGUGCUAAAAUUUGGAUCAUGUCAAGGAAGCUAUUACUAUUAUUGUGAUCGCUCUUUGGAAAUUGAUAGGUCUUUGAGUUGCUACUCAUAGAACGUGAUGAAUCUUUCUUCGUUCUAUUGUAAUUCACGCUGGUAGUCCUAAAACUUGUAUGCCUGUGGCAUAUCUUGUAAUUUGACCUGAGAUUGGGUAGGGAUACCCGCUGAACUUAAGCAUAUCAAUAAGCGGAGGA